rnacentral:rRNA from 1 species
AGCGAACGCUGGCGGCGGGCCUAACACAUGCAAGUCGAACGAACCUUCCGGGGUUUUUGGCGGCCGGGGUAGUAACCCGUGGGAAGGGUCAUUUGGGUUGGGCCUACCUCUGGGAAACUUGUGCUAAUACGGAAUGUGCCCUUCGGGGGAAUGAUUUAUUGCCGUUAGAGGGGCACGCGUCUGAUUAGCUAGUUGGUUGAGGUAAUGGCACACCCAGGCGACGUUAGGUAGUUGGUCAGAGAGGAUGUUCCGCCACAUGGGGAGUGAGACGCGGCCCAAACUCCUACGGGAGGCAGCAGUGGGGAAUCGUGCGCAAUGGGCGAAAGCCUGACGCAGCCAGGCCGCGUAAAUGAUGAAGGUCGUAGGAAUGUAAAAUUCUUUCACCGGGGACGAUAAUGACGGUACCCGGAGAAGAAGCCCCGGCUAACUUCGUG